rnacentral:lncRNA from 1 species
GCUAUAUAUAGAUAGGACUUACUUACUACAAAGCAGUCUUAGUUUGCUAUUAUUUGACCUGAUACAGAAAAUAUUGUGUUACUAAGUUUGAGGUAGUGAGCUUUGAAGCCAUCCUUGUCCUGCUAAUGAAAUCAGUAACUUCUACUCUUGGAUUCACUAAUGUCCCAUGAAUCUCUUGUACUGGGCUCUUUUCCCCCCUUUUCCUCUGACUGUAUAAUCGAUCUCAUUUGUGAAAUUUCAGGGUUUGUGAAACUCCCCUCUUCAGAAAGAGUAUGUCAUUACAGCUGCCUUGAAAACCUUUGGACCUCUGUAAACCUGAAAACAUAAAUCAUCAAAUUAAUGUUCCCUACUGUGUAUGUUAGUUUAAGGGCAUGUUAAGCUUUUAAAUAUUGAAGCACCUAACAGCUUGAUGGAGAAAGCCAGCUUAUAGCAGAACAGGGUAAUAAUGACAGAAUGUUAAUUAAAAUUUUCCUUGUAAAAUUUUUAUUUUCAGUCUGAAUGAUCCAAUACAGCGGUAUUACUAGCUAAAAGCAAGAUAUCUGUUCAGCUAUGCUGGCUUCUCAUUAUUGAUCCUUGACAUUUAGUACAUGUGCGUACUUACUCUGUUGUAAAACAAACCACUUGAAAACAUUAAUAAAUAAAAUCAUUCCUGUUAAUUGCAAAACUCUCAUGGUGAUAUGUUCUGAUGUCACGGCUAGAAGCUGAAUCAAUUCAUUAGGAACACAAAUAACACCAAUUCUGAGCAUGUGCAGGCUGUUAUUGACUCAGCUGAAGCUACCGAAAUGAAAGUCAUCAGGUUUGGAAAAAAAAAAAUGGCUCUUUACAAAAAUACAUGAAGAAACUGAACAUCUUUUUAAUCAAGUAGCAUUAUUUUAAAAAUGUGAAUCCAUAGAAUUCCUGAUUGCUUCUGGGAGUUUUAUGGCUUUAUUAAUGCUUUCCUAUUUAGUUAUUGCAUUUCCCCCCGGUCCCCAAUUGUGAAGUUUCUGCAUGAGCAAAAGAGAGGGUAGCUUGCCUGCCCUCCUGCCUUUUCUUAAGUUUAAUGUCCAGGGAUAAACUUUAAAGAUUGUUUUAACAUCUUACCCUUUGCAUGUGUGUAUAUUUGUGACUGUACAUGUCCCUGGUGGCACAUAUGUGGAGGUCAGGAGCAUACUUAUGCAGUCUGCCACGUUGGUUCUGGAGCCUGAAUUUAGGUUGUCAGGCUUGGAGGCAAGUCUCUUCACCACAAAGCAAUCUCUCAAACCUGAGACCAAGAUUAGCGUCAAAACUCCAAAUGCUUCCUGUCUAUAGAUACAUCAGAAAUCACUAAAGAAUGUAUUAGGUUAGAGUAUUAUAAGUUUCAAAAGUGUUAGUGGUCCUAAAAUGCAAAUUCUUUAGGUUAGGGGUAAGUAUGCUGAAGCCCCCAGAGGAAACUCAUCUGAGGCUAACAGGUUGACCCUUAGAGCUGAACCAGAAUGCAGAAUGCCUACUUCAUGAACAGGAAGGUCUCUGUAAAAGCCAACCUUGACCUUAAUGAAAUAUAAUCAGCUAUCAGCUGCAUCUAAAAUUUUGUUUCUUGUAUUUGUUCUAGGAUUUUCUUGUUUAAAAAUCCUCUAUUUUUAAAAUUGAAAUUAGUAGAACAGUGGGAAUAAUAAUAGAAGUAUCUAUAAUGAAAACCAGUCAUAAUAAUGAAUGAAAGUUCCAAAACUCCUGUGUGCUAGGCUCUGACUUAGCACUUUAUGGUUAUUAACUCACUGACCUUCACAGUAAUCUUCAUUAGUAAACUGUUACCAUUCUCUUCUCCUAAUUGGGAAAUUGAGGCCAGAAAAACAGCUAGCUGGAAUAAUCAGCUCUUUGCAAAUCAGGCGAUUCCAGGUAAGAAGGGUUAAGAGCUUUGCUAUGUAGAGAGAUGCAAAUAGUUACAAGCUUUUUGAUGACAAAGUGUGUAUAUCCUAUGUAUAUGCAACAUAUAAUGUUUAUAUAUAACAUAUACAAUGUCAUAUAUUAAAUAUAAAAUUCUGACUUCCCUUUUGCUGAUAAGAAGAAGAGUCAGUAAUUUUCAGUGCCUCAUCAUAAUUUGUACCCAUAAUUCUCAAAAUUCUUAUGGUCAGCAGUAAUCUCACCAUGUAUGCAAUGAGGCAAGAACGUUGGCUGCGUGGCUACUUGUGUUUAACUACUUUCACAUAGUAAAAGCUGUCACCUCUUAUUAUUUUAUUAUUUUUUUCUGUCAUCCAAGGCUUCAUUCUAACCACGUAACCUCACCUGUGAAGCCCUCUGUGAUUAGCUGCUACUUCAUAUCAUCUGUAUUUUUAUUUAGAGUUAUGUGUCUGUUGUGUUGAUUUCUUGCUGGCUUUAGAAAUGCUUAUUUAACUUUUCUCUUUAGUUCACUGAAUCUAAGUUUGUGUAGAAGGAUCUGUCUAGGCUAACUAGUAGCAUAUUGUCCUUGUCCCUUGCCUUUAUGUGAAGAAAUCUAUGUUACCCCUCUGUCUGGUCAAAGUCAUGCACAAGUUGUAGUAUG